rnacentral:tRNA from 2 species
GGGCGCGUCGUCUAGCAAACGGAACCAUCCUAUCGUUCCAUCUAGAAUGGAUAGGGCACCAGGUUGCGGACCUGGGCUUCGCCGGUUCAAAUCCGGCCGUGCCCG